rnacentral:lncRNA from 1 species
CUAGGCACUGAACAACAAGGCUCUCCAGAAACGGGUGGAAAAUCUUCAAGACCAACAAACAGAAGUGAGAAGGUAAUAGGAUGGUGUCAACGGAAGAAACUGAAUUCAAGUUACAGCAACAAGGCUGAUUCUAAUGAAGGGCGGGACAUUGAUUCUGCAUUUCUAACAACCUCCCUGGUGACGCUGACUCUGUUGGUCACUCUACAUAGCAAGGAAGCAGCAUUAGGCUCAAAGAAGAAAUCAGUAAAAGAAAACUACGGAUGGAUCUACAUCCCCUCCAGAACAGUCUACCGAGAGUUGCUGUUACCAGUGAGAUGUUAUAGAGAAGUCAACAGUGGUGCAUCAGCAGAUCUGAGUUCCAUCUUUGGAGACAUAAUAAACUCUGUAUCAUCUUGAGUAACUUGUAUAAGCAUUUCAAGCUUUAGCUUUCUGAUAAAGUACAUAAGUCGCUUAUAACAGAUAAUCAGAGAAUAAAAAGAAUGGUAAUUAGUACUUUAAUGCUUGCUACGUGCAUCCAGUAUGCCAGGAUUUUACUAUAAGAAGUAUUUAGGGUAAUGAAUGCAACAUCAGUAGUGUUCCCAGAUUAAAUACAGGACACCUAGUUACAC